AGCGUACACGGUGGAUGCCCUGGCAGUCAGAGGCGAUGAAGGACGUGCUAAUCUGCGAUAAGCGUCGGUGAGGUGAUAUGAACCGUUAUAACCGGCGAUUUCCGAAUGGGGAAACCCAGUGUGUUUCGACACACUAUCAUUAACUGAAUCCAUAGGUUAAUGAGGCGAACCGGGGGAACUGAAACAUCUAAGUACCCCGAGGAAAAGAAAUCAACCGAGAUUCCCCCAGUAGCGGCGAGCGAACGGGGAGGAGCCCAGAGCCUGAAUCAGUGUGUGUGUUAGUGGAAGCGUCUGGAAAGGCGCGCGAUACAGGGUGACAGCCCCGUACACAAAAAUGCACAUAUUGUGAGCUCGAUGAGUAGGGCGGGACACGUGGUAUCCUGUCUGAAUAUGGGGGGACCAUCCUCCAAGGCUAAAUACUCCUGACUGACCGAUAGUGAACCAGUACCGUGAGGGAAAGGCGAAAAGAACCCCGGCGAGGGGAGUGAAAAAGAACCUGAAACCGUGUACGUACAAGCAGUGGGAGCCUCUUAAUGGGGUGACUGCGUACCUUUUGUAUAAUGGGUCAGCGACUUAUAUUCUGUAGCAAGGUUAACCGAAUAGGGGAGCCGAAGGGAAACCGAGUCUUAACUGGGCGUUAAGUUGCAGGGUAUAGACCCGAAACCCGGUGAUCUAGCCAUGGGCAGGUUGAAGGUUGGGUAACACUAACUGGAGGACCGAACCGACUAAUGUUGAAAAAUUAGCGGAUGACUUGUGGCUGGGGGUGAAAGGCCAAUCAAACCGGGAGAUAGCUGGUUCUCCCCGAAAGCUAUUUAGGUAGCGCCUCGUGAAUUCAUCUCCGGGGGUAGAGCACUGUUUCGGCAAGGGGGUCAUCCCGACUUACCAACCCGAUGCAAACUGCGAAUACCGGAGAAUGUUAUCACGGGAGACACACGGCGGGUGCUAACGUCCGUCGUGAAGAGGGAAACAACCCAGACCGCCAGCUAAGGUCCCAAAGUCAUGGUUAAGUGGGAAACGAUGUGGGAAGGCCCAGACAGCCAGGAUGUUGGCUUAGAAGCAGCCAUCAUUUAAAGAAAGCGUAAUAGCUCACUGGUCGAGUCGGCCUGCGCGGAAGAUGUAACGGGGCUAAACCAUGCACCGAAGCUGCGGCAGCGACGCUUAUGCGUUGUUGGGUAGGGGAGCGUUCUGUAAGCCUGCGAAGGUGUGCUGUGAGGCAUGCUGGAGGUAUCAGAAGUGCGAAUGCUGACAUAAGUAACGAUAAAGCGGGUGAAAAGCCCGCUCGCCGGAAGACCAAGGGUUCCUGUCCAACGUUAAUCGGGGCAGGGUGAGUCGACCCCUAAGGCGAGGCCGAAAGGCGUAGUCGAUGGGAAACAGGUUAAUAUUCCUGUACUUGGUGUUACUGCGAAGGGGGGACGGAGAAGGCUAUGUUGGCCGGGCGACGGUUGUCCCGGUUUAAGCGUGUAGGCUGGUUUUCCAGGCAAAUCCGGAAAAUCAAGGCUGAGGCGUGAUGACGAGGCACUACGGUGCUGAAGCAACAAAUGCCCUGCUUCCAGGAAAAGCCUCUAAGCAUCAGGUAACAUCAAAUCGUACCCCAAACCGACACAGGUGGUCAGGUAGAGAAUACCAAGGCGCUUGAGAGAACUCGGGUGAAGGAACUAGGCAAAAUGGUGCCGUAACUUCGGGAGAAGGCACGCUGAUAUGUAGGUGAAGCGACUUGCUCGUGGAGCUGAAAUCAGUCGAAGAUACCAGCUGGCUGCAACUGUUUAUUAAAAACACAGCACUGUGCAAACACGAAAGUGGACGUAUACGGUGUGACGCCUGCCCGGUGCCGGAAGGUUAAUUGAUGGGGUUAGCGGUAACGCGAAGCUCUUGAUCGAAGCCCCGGUAAACGGCGGCCGUAACUAUAACGGUCCUAAGGUAGCGAAAUUCCUUGUCGGGUAAGUUCCGACCUGCACGAAUGGCGUAAUGAUGGCCAGGCUGUCUCCACCCGAGACUCAGUGAAAUUGAACUCGCUGUGAAGAUGCAGUGUACCCGCGGCAAGACGGAAAGACCCCGUGAACCUUUACUAUAGCUUGACACUGAACAUUGAGCCUUGAUGUGUAGGAUAGGUGGGAGGCUUUGAAGUGUGGACGCCAGUCUGCAUGGAGCCGACCUUGAAAUACCACCCUUUAAUGUUUGAUGUUCUAACGUUGGCCCGUAAUCCGGGUUGCGGACAGUGUCUGGUGGGUAGUUUGACUGGGGCGGUCUCCUCCUAAAGAGUAACGGAGGAGCACGAAGGUUGGCUAAUCCUGGUCGGACAUCAGGAGGUUAGUGCAAUGGCAUAAGCCAGCUUGACUGCGAGCGUGACGGCGCGAGCAGGUGCGAAAGCAGGUCAUAGUGAUCCGGUGGUUCUGAAUGGAAGGGCCAUCGCUCAACGGAUAAAAGGUACUCCGGGGAUAACAGGCUGAUACCGCCCAAGAGUUCAUAUCGACGGCGGUGUUUGGCACCUCGAUGUCGGCUCAUCACAUCCUGGGGCUGAAGUAGGUCCCAAGGGUAUGGCUGUUCGCCAUUUAAAGUGGUACGCGAGCUGGGUUUAGAACGUCGUGAGACAGUUCGGUCCCUAUCUGCCGUGGGCGCUGGAGAACUGAGGGGGGCUGCUCCUAGUACGAGAGGACCGGAGUGGACGCAUCACUGGUGUUCGGGUUGUCAUGCCAAUGGCACUGCCCGGUAGCUAAAUGCGGAAGAGAUAAGUGCUGAAAGCAUCUAAGCACGAAACUUGCCCCGAGAUGAGUUCU
rnacentral:rRNA from 2 species